rnacentral:rRNA from 1 species
AUGGGGCAGGCUCCGGAGAUGGCGGCGCCGCUGCUCCUGCAGGUGGAGGACGCGGACGCCGGAUGGAGCUCCAGGCCGCAUCGCAUUGCUCUCUUCGUCGAGCCUUCGCCCUUCGCCUAUAUCUCCGGCUACAAGAACCGGUUCCAGAACUUCAUCAAGCAUCUGCGAGAGAUGGGCGAUGAGGUCUUGGUCGUGACCACGCACAAAGGAGCUCCCGAGGAGUUCCAUGGAGCAAAGGUCAUUGGCUCGUGGAGCUUUCCAUGUCCAUUGUACCAAAAUGUUCCACUCUCGUUGGCAUUGAGCCCCAGAAUAUUUUCUGCCGUGUCAAAGUUCAAGCCAGACAUAAUCCAUGCUACUUCACCUGGAGUUAUGGUUUUUGGCGCCCUUGCUAUCGCAAAGAUGAUUUCAGUUCCAAUGGUGAUGUCUUAUCACACACAUCUUCCAGCGUACUUACCAGGGUACAAUUUAAAUUGGUUACUUGGACCCACAUGGGGCCUUAUAAGAUGUCUCCACAGGUCUGCAGAUCUUACUCUCGUUCCUUCAGUAGCUAUUGCCGAGGACUUUGAAACUGCUAAAGUAGUACCAGCAAACAGAGUACGGCUUUGGAACAAGGGUGUUGAUUCUGAAAGCUUCCAUCCUAAAUUUCGGAGGCAUGAAAUGCGGAUCAAGUUGAGCGGUGGUGAACCAGAAAAACCAUUGAUAAUUCACGUGGGCCGUUUUGGGCGUGAAAAGAAUUUGGAUUUUCUAAAGAGAGUUAUGGAAAAGCUCCCCGGAGUAAGAAUUGCUUUUGUUGGAGAUGGACCAUACAGGGCUGAGCUGGAAAAAAUGUUCACAGGUAUGCCUGUAGUUUUCACCGGAAUGCUCCAAGGCGAGGAGCUCUCGCAGGCGUAUGCCAGUGGGGACGUAUUUGCAAUGCCUUCAGAGUCUGAGACGCUCGGACAAGUAGUGCUGGAGUCCAUGGCUUCUGGAGUCCCGGUUGUCGCUGCUCGCGCCGGAGGCAUACCUGAUAUAAUACCCAAGGACAAGGAGGGCAAGACCAGCUUCCUCUUCACACCCGGGGAUCUCGACGAGUGCAUGAGGAAGAUCGAACAGCUCCUGUUGUCGAAAGACCUCAGGGAGUCGGUCGGAAGGGCUGCCAGAGAGGAGAUGGAGAACUGCGACUGGAGAACGGCCUCGAAGACGAUACGCAACGAGCACUACAGCACCGCGACGUUGUACUGGCAGAAGAAGACGGGCAGAACGGGGUAG